UACGUAGGGGGCUAGCGUUGUCCGGAUUUAUUGGGCGUAAAGAGCGUGUAGGCGGCCAGGUAGGUCUGGUGUGAAAACUCGAGGCUACACCGCGAGCGCGGACGAACUCUGGCUAGAGUCCGGAAGAGGAGAGUGGAAUUCCUGGUGUAGCGGUGAAAUGCGCAGAUAUCAGGAAGAACACCCAGUGGCGAAGGCGCUCUCUGGGACGGUACUGACGCUGAGACGCGAAAGCGUGGGGAGCGAACAGGAUUAGAACCUAC
rnacentral:rRNA from 1 species